GAGCUGUCCAUUUUUUCAAAUUUUUGCCCAGAUUUCUCUCUCUUUCCUUCAGAGGCAAAAUUUUUCACCUCCCUCUCAGUUUCUCUGCCGUUUGAGCGGUCCUUUUAUUGACUCUUUCUUUCUUCUUUUUCGACGUUUCUUCUAUCUCUUGCACACAAAAAAUGCUAAUCCUACGGUUUUAUCUAUUAGCUUUAUUCCUUUGUUACUCUUAAAACAAUUUUUUUUCGGCAAGCGAGUUCUAAAACUGUGAAAUUCGAUUGAAACUGAUCCAGUUUUUGGUUCGGCCAUUUCUGGAAAAAUAUAUAAAAGAAUAUAAAAAACCCCUUCUUUUUCUCUGAUAGGUACUGCUUCUGUUGGGUACCCAUUUGGCACUUUGGCCUAUUCUUCUCAUGGGAAAUCCGGGGCUUUACCCCAAUAUAUUGAAUUUUCAGUUUCCAGUUUUCCUCUUCAUCUGGAAAUUCUAAGAAGUAACUCUGCUUCCAUCACUACAUCCAAGGGACUAAUAAGUAGAAUAUGUUCUGCACCUGAUGCUGAUGAUUUCUUCCCUGAGAAAGUCUCAACACCCAUUCUUGAUUUGGUUGAAAGUCCUAUCAACUUGAAGAAUUUGUCUUCCAAAGUUGGUCUAUGCAGGAACUGGAACAAUUGGCCAAUGAAAUUCGUUCCGAGUUGAUUUUUCUUUCUUUAACAUUCCUAUCUUCCAGUUAAAAAGAAGAGCACGAUGA